rnacentral:rRNA from 1 species
GACGAACGCUGGCGGCGUGCUUAACACAUGCAAGUCGAGCGGUAAGGCCCUUCGGGGUACACGAGCGGCGAACGGGUGAGAAACACGUGAGCAAUCUGCCCUUCACAUCGGGAUAACCCCCGGAAACGGGAGCUAAUACCGGAUACGACCACUUCAGGCAUCUGAUGGUGGUGGAAAGUUCCGGCGGUGGAGGAUGAGCUCGCGGCCUAUCAGCUUGUUGGUGGGGUAACGGCCCACCAAGGCUUCGACGGGUAGCCGGCCUGAGAGGGUGACCGGCCACACUGGGACUGAGACACGGCCCAGACUCCUACGGGAGGCAGCAGUGGGGAAUAUUGGACAAUGGGCGAAAGCCUGAUCCAGCAACGCCGCGUGAGGGAUGACGGCCUUCGGGUUGUAAACCUCUUUCAGCAGGGACGAAGCGCAAGUGACGGUACCUGCAGAAGAAGCACCGGCCAACUACGUGCCAGCCGCCGCAGUAACAC